rnacentral:Y_RNA from 1 species
GGCUGGUCUGCAGGUAGUGAGUUAUUUCUCCCCUUCUCACUACCGCUCUUGACUAGUCUUAG